rnacentral:rRNA from 1 species
UUUAAUGAGAGUUUGAUCCUGGCUCAGGACGAACGCUGGCGGCGUGCCUAAUACAUGCAAGUAGAACGCUGAGGUUUGGUGUUUACACUAGACUGAUGAGUUGCGAACGGGUGAGUAACGCGUAGGUAACCUGCCUCAUAGCGGGGGAUAACUAUUGGAAACGAUAGCUAAUACCGCAUAAGAGUAAUUAACACAUGUUAGUUAUUUAAAAGGAGCAAUUGCUUCACUGUGAGAUGGACCUGCGUUGUAUUAGCUAGUUGGUGAGGU